AUCGAACGCUAGCGGGAUGCUUUACACAUGCAAGUCGAACGAGUGGCGGACGGGCGAGUAAUAUAUCGGAACGUGCCCAGUAGCGGGGGACAACUACUCGAAAGAGUGGCUAAUACCGCUUACUACUGUAGCGGGCGAUAGCGGAUUAGCUAGUUGGUGGGGUACAGGCUCACCAAGGCAACGAUCCGUAGCUGGUUUGAGAGGACGACCAGCCACACUGGGACUGAGACACGGCCAAGACUCCUACGGGAGGCAGCAGUAGGGAAUAUUGGACAAUGGAGGAAACCCUGAUCCAGCCAUCCCGCGUGUAUGAGAAGGCCUUCGGAUUGUAAAGUACUUUUGGCAGAGAAGCGGUAUCUACAGAAUAAGCACCGGCUAACUACGUGCCAGCAGCCGCGGUAAUUC
rnacentral:rRNA from 1 species